AUUGAACGCUGGCGGCAGGCCUAACACAUGCAAGUCGAACGGUAACAGGAAGCAGCUUGCUGCUUUGCUGACGAGUGGCGGACGGGUGAGUAAUGUCUGGGAAACUGCCCGAUGGAGGGGAAAACCACGGGAAAAGGGUGCCUAUAACGCAUUAACUCCUGAGGCCAAAAGGGGGGGGCUUAGGGUCGUCUGGCAUCGGGAGUGGCCCGGUGGGAUUAGCUAGUAGGUGGGGUGACGGCGCACCUAGGCGACGAUCCCUAGCUGGUUUGAGAGGAUGACCAGCCACACUGGAACUGAGACACGGUCCAGACUCCUACGGGAGGCAGCAGUGGGGAAUAUUGCACAAUGGGCGCAAGCCUGAUGCAGCCAUGCCGCGUGUAUGAAGAAGGCCUUCGGGUUGUAAAGUACUUUCAGCGGGGAGGAAGGGAGUAAAGUUAAUACCUUUGCUCAUUGACGUUACCCGCAGAAGAAGCACCGGCUAACUCCGUG
rnacentral:rRNA from 1 species